rnacentral:rRNA from 1 species
AUACGGAGGGUCCGAGCGUUAAUCGGAAUUACUGGGCGUAAAGCGCGCGUAGGCGGCUAUAUACGUCAGAUGUGAAAUCCCUGGGCUCAACCUAGGAACUGCAUUUGAAACUGUAUGGCUAGAGUAUGGUAGAGGUGAGUGGAAUUUCAGGUGUAGCGGUGAAAUGCGUAGAGAUCUGAAGGAACAUCAGUGGCGAAGGCGACUCACUGGGCCAUUACUGACGCUGAGGUGCGAAAGCGUGGGUAGCAAACAGGAUUAGAAACCCUAGUAGUCC